UUUUUUUUUUUAAAUUUAAAAUUGAAUAAAUUUUAUGAAUUUAAUAAACUGUUGACCGAUUUAAUUGUAAUAAUGUAAAAAAAUUUCUUUUAGAAAUUUUACAAUAAUUUUUAUUGUAUACAUUUUUAUGAUUUACAAUGCUAUAAAUUUAGGAUACCUUCGGGACCCGUCUUGAAACACGGACCAAGGAGUCUAACAUAUGUGCAAGUCGUUGAGUAAUUUAAAUAAAACUCAAAGGCAUAAUUAAAUUAACUGUUAUUUUAUAAUGGGAUUAGUUUAUAUAUAUCUUUUUUUUUAUUUAAUAAAAGAAAAAUGUUGUAAAUUCAAUCCCAGGGCGUUCUAUAUAGUUAUGCAUAAUAAUAUUUUAUAUUAUUUAUGUCUCUAACUG
rnacentral:rRNA from 1 species